CCUACGGGAGGCUGCAGUGGGGAAUAUUGCACAAUGGGGGAAACCCUGAUGCAGAGACGCCGCGUGAGUGAAGAAGUCAUUCGUUAUGUAAAGCUCUAUCAGCAGGGAAGAAAAUGACGGUACCUGUGUAAGAAGCCCCGGCGAACUACGUGCCAGCAGCCGCGGUAAUACGUAGGGGGCAAGCGUUAUCCGGAUUUACUGGGUGUAACGGGAGCGUAGACGGCAGUGCAAGUCUGGAGUGAAAGGCGGGGGCUCAACCCCCGGACUGCUCUGGAAACUGUACGGCUGGAGUGCAGGAGAGGUAAGUGGAAUUCCUAGUGUAGCGGUGAAAUGCGUAGAUAUUAGGAGGAACACCAGUGGCGAAGGCGGCUUACUGGACUGUAACUGACGUUGAGGCUCGAAAGCGUGGGGAGCAAACAGGAUUAGAUACCCUUGUAGUC
rnacentral:rRNA from 1 species